CCUAGCCCAUCACUUACCCCACUUAUAUUUUAGGUAUAAAAUCUCUUCUAAACUCCUCGUGCAGGUUAAGGCGGCGACAUCCCAAUUAGAUUAGGGCACGCCGCAUCGAUGGAUAAUAAUCGUGUGUGUGUAUCUAUUCGAGUGUAUUCAUAAUUCAGUGUUGCUAGAUCGAUGUUCAAAUUCGUUAUGUUGUCCGUUUCGAAGCCGAAAACCAGUAAACAAUGAAGAAGCUGCUCCAGCAAAACAAAACUAUGUUCUAUUGCCACCACAGUGGGCCGGCAAGGGAUAAAAGUGAUUCUACCAAACCUUGCUCUAAGUGGACAAAAAGAAAUGCCAACAUUUCUCGAUAUGGGAUUCCUUGUGACUCGGCUCACCGAAAUAAAAGAAGAACUCUUCAUUUGAGCAAACAAUUGCUGAAGGUAACCGAGAAGGUAAUAGGAAAAUUAAUCCAGCUUCUGCAAAGAGAGAAGGUAUUCUACUUCUUUUGAUCAGAGAUUAUUAUAUGUUCCUUGGACCCUGCAAUAAAACCAACUCAAUACAAUCUUAUUCACGUGAAGAUUGUCUUGUUUAAUAAUAUCUUUGAGACGGAUGGCUCAGAAAUGGUGAAGGUAUGCUUAUUAUAUGGUUAAGUUAUAAUGUACUUAAAAUCUAUUAAAUGUUUUAGUAUGAAAGUCACUGAUUUUCACAUUCCUCUUUGCAGUAAAACAAGGAAGAUGAUUUGCAGUAAACAAUGAAGAUGAUGCUCCAAAAAGAUGAAAAACAAUUAUCUAAGGCCUGCUAAUCUGCUUGUUAUCUACUAUUAUGAAGAAGCUGCCUACUUAUCUAUUUAGUUGAAGAUAAAACAAACGCAGCACAUCGUGGAACUUCUGAAUUUAAAAGAAUCAAGUUUAAAUCUAGCAGUUUAGAUAGGAGUAACCAUAUUGUCUAAUUCUUAUUCCUAUGUAAGAUCAGGGCUCAAAAUACUUAAAAUAGAUGAUGUUCAAGCAACCAUCAAGUUACUUGAAGUAGUUUUAGUAUUUGUCUGUUUAUUUAUUGACAUUUAUUGACCUGUUAAAACAGGAUUAUGCACUUUGGAACAGUUAUUCAUAAUUUACACAUUUUCUUGGUUUA